rnacentral:rRNA from 1 species
CCUACGGGAGGCAGCAGUAGGGAAUCUUCCACAAUGGGCGAAAGCCUGAUGGAGCAACGCCGCGUGAGUGAUGAAGGCCUUCGGGUUGUAAAACUCUGUCAUUCGGGACGAACCGGAGUCUGAGGAAAUGCAGACUCUCUGACGGUACCGGAGGAAGAAGCCCCGGCUAACUACGUGCCAGCAGCCGCGGUAAUACGUAGGGGGCAAGCGUUGUCCGGAUUCACUGGGCGUAAAGCGCGCGCAGGCGGUGAUGUAAGUCUGAGGUGAAAACCCGAAGCUCAACUUCGGGACUGCCUUGGAUACUGCGUCACUUGAGGAUAGGAGAGGCAAGGGGAAUUCCACGUGUAGCGGUGAAAUGCGUAGAGAUGUGGAGGAACACCUGUGGACGAAGGCGCCUUGCUGGCCUAUUUCUGACGCUGAGGCGCGAAAGCGUGGGGAGCAAACAGGAUUAGAUACCCUGGUAGUCCACGCUGUAAACGAUGAGCGCUAGGUGUAGGUGGGCUNAUACCCNUCGUGUGACGAGCGUAACGNAUAGUCNCUCCGCGNGGUAGGUUACGGUUCGCGAGAGAGAACGACAAGAGAGUUAGACGGACGAGACGCGACGACGGACGACGACGGAGGGAGGUUAGGAG